rnacentral:misc_RNA from 1 species
GAAUAGCAGUAGGCUCGAUGCACUUGUAACGAAGAGUCGCGUCAAGUAUCAUUAUACCAUUUUUGCUGCCUUGACUUUUCAAGUUGCAAUUAGGAACUGCAAUAGUGAACAUUGAGGGACACGAGUGAAAGACAGAAAAACUGCAAAGUGACACCGAAAUAGGUGGUCCAGCUGUUGUCAGUCUGGUCUUCUCAAAGAUCAAGAAUGUUAUGCAAACAUAGAUCUGGAAAUUCCCGCCUUUGAAACAUUUAAAAUGGGUCUACAGCAAGAACAAGUAAAGGAUGCUUUAAUUGUUAACAAAUCAUUUCUUGGUCUUCUCGGGGAGGCGACCCCACUACGCUCGGAUCACGCCACCAUUCGCGCCUAUCAUCACAUAUGCCGCAUUCUUUUGAAACAACAGACCGAAAUCGACGUUUUUGGAAGUCGCUGCUUGGCGACAACUAUGCGCUCGUCGAUACAUUGUAUGCUGCUCGUCGGGUAGAUAAGGUGAUCCGCCAGCGACAUUAUAGGACCGCAAGCGACAUCCAGAAACGCGACCCAUACUAAAAUCUCGCAGCGUAAUAAAGCGUACACCUCCCUCUUUUUUUGAUACUACAUAUAUAUGUAUUAUACAUAAAUAUUAUAUUAUGUUACCAAUGAACGAAUAGAAAAUUUUAUUUUCACAAUAGUCAAGUAAAAUUAUAUAUAUAUCUAUUGAACUUUCACAAUUAGGCUUGUCCAACAAGUUUCAUAUAAAUAGGUAGACUGCAGAUAUUUAUGCAAAUUUAUAUUUUUAUGAAUAUAAUUGAUAGAGUAUAGGACAUGAAAAAAGAUUUGUUUCAUUUAUUAUAUAUAGUAACGUGCAUUAUGCUGGUUUUUAUUCUUACGCGUUGUGUUCAUUCUAUGAAUAGAUUUUUUCCCUUAAAAUUUCUCAUAAAUGCAUAAAAAUGCUCGGUCGAUCGACAAGUCUAGGUAAGUUUGGGUAUUAUAGUUGUGUUUAGAAGUUUUUAUGUAUAACAUUUUAAUCUUCAAAUUCAUUAGCGUUUCUGUAAAUGAUAAUAAAUAAUUCAUAACAAAACUCAUUUAAAAUGACAAUAUGCUAUAAAUUAUAACAAUCAUUCUGUCGGUAUUAAAAGGCAUUUCUUUAUCAGCAAAUUUUUCACUUGUAUCAUAUCAAAUAGAUAAAUAUAGACGUAUGUAUAAUAAUGUAUUUCUUCCUCAUUCUUUCUUGUUUAUCC